UGACGCAACAAUUGCAUUCAAUGACAAAUGUCCGUUCAACAAACAUUCACUGGGCACCUACUGUGCCAGAUUCUGAAGAUGCAAACAUAAAGAAGACAAAACUCUGUGACCUCCAAGACAAACUAAAUGGGACGAGAAACAUGACCUUAUCUUCAGCUGGACUGGACCCCGCCCCUCCCAGGAACUGGGUAGGCAGAGAGUCUAGAGCCUGAAUCCUUCAUCUUUUCUCUCCCCUGGAGGACCUGGGACAAUGGAUCUCAUCCCCCAGAGGUCUAUGGAGCAUCACCACCAAUUGUAAGAACACACCUUUGUUCCUUCAAGAUAGAAACCAAAUGUUUACUUCUUGGCCCACACCAGGUAAAGGGGAGCAGGAUGAAACCAGGGUCCAAGAAGAGGGCAGAAGGGUGGAAGAGAGGAAGGGAAGUCAGUAGAAAGAAAGGGUCCCAGAGACUGUCUGAGGCUGACUCUACAUGGACUGAAAUCUGCCUACCAGGGAGAAAAGGGAAUUUUUUACAAAUGUAUGAAACAACCUCACUGAAAGGGGUGGGAGAAAAAGGUGCCACCCUCGGUAACUCUGGAAAUCAGUAGAGUCUACAAAACUAAAGGCACACAAGCACUUCACUCUAGUUGACAAAGUUGUUACCAUGGGUGGGCGGGUUAACAAUUCUGAAACCACUGGAACUGAACAAGUGAGUAUGGAUGGCAGAUGGUGGAGCCAGGUGUCUCCUUGUUGGAGUGGGAGUUUUCACAUAAGCAAAGGGAGAUGGCUUAGAAUGAUCAACGUGGUGAUGUGGUUGGAGAUAUCAGUAUGAAUUCAUGUUUAACUUAAUAUAGACACAGAUGGUUAACACAAAGAAAUAUUUAUAGAUUUGUGUAUAUACAUAGGUUAGUGUACACACAUAUAUUUCCUUGCCUUCUCACCUGAAAGGGGCUACAAAAUGGCCACAAUGACUCAGUAGCAAAAAGCAAACCUAGCACCAACUCUUGGUUUCUAAUACCAUACUCCAGUAAAAGAAAGCGUUCACAGGGAAAUGGCUGAGCCUAGAAUGGUGCAGGAAAUAUACAAGGUGAGCCUAGAGCUUCUUGUAAUGCCCAAAAGUAAGAAAUUGCUAAAAAAAAUUUAAAAACCCACAUCAAUGGGGGGUAUGUCAAUGGGACAUAGGAGCAACAAAAUAAAGUAGUAUUGGAUCAUAACCCAAAAUACAAAACAAAUACCCAUGAGUCCAUACUGAUAUAAAUAAAUGAUUGAAUAAAUA